GAGGGUGGCGGGCUUGAGGCGGGCAGGCUGCUUAGUUGCGGCCCGAGGCGCCUAAGUGGGGAUGACCAACCCGUGGGCGUUGGCGCUGACCCCUAGGCGCCGCUGGUGGCCCCGCGCGCGGCCCUCCGGCCAGCCCCGCCCCUCUCGGGGCUCCUCCUUGGUCCCCGCGCCAUGGCGCGUCCGCGUUGACCGCUGUCUUCCCUUUCGGGCUGUGCUGAUCGCGAACGCUGCGCAGUCCGUGGUGGCGUCGAGGCACCUUUCUCGUGCCUUUACCUGUGUUCACUCCUUUGCUUUAAAAAACAGCCCUAGAAGUACACAUCGUUGGCCCCGAAGGAGCCCCAGCAGCCAUGUCGGACCGCGAGGUGACCUUGGAGGGCGGGAGGACGGACGAGGGGCCUGGCGGAGCUAGACUGAGAGGGCGCCGCCGGCGUCCUGAAGGCCCUGCUCCCCGAAUGUGUGGGAGUGUGUCUGACGGUGCGAGGGUGGCUGUGGCGGGGCCUGAGCAGCGUGUCCGUGUCCCGAUGCCGCCCGCCUGUUACUGAGUUAGGCAGGAGUGCCCGAGUCUGGCGAACUUCAGCAGUUCUCGUUCCAGAGCUCCACACGAGGUUGGCCAAAGCUUUGCGGGACUUACAUACCCUUCUUCCUCCGCCCAGUCCUGCUUCCUUCCCCUUCCUUUCACGGGUGUUGAUACCAUGUCAACAUCCUCGUACCCCAAACUCAGUCGCAGCGUCUGCUUCUGGAGAAACCAUUCUGCAGCAUUAAAGCUGGUGAGAAGAUGGGAUUCGAGGCUGCAUCACUCACCAGUGGUGAAGUAGGAGGGUGAACUAGUGAAAUGGAAUCCACGAGUGGGUGAAGUAUCAGACAUUUCAUAUAUGGUGAACGUAGUAGAUAAAAGGAAGGAAAGGGGGAUUGGAUAGCUAUUGCUUAGUGCCAACCGAGACUCUUAAGAAUAGUGGUCAGCUGAAGGCAAGCAACAAACAGUUGUAAGCCAGUGAAUCUGUCCCGUUACAUAUAGAGAAGCUUCAUUUACUGCAGCAGGUCAAAGACAAGAACCAGGCCCAGGAAUUAACAUCCCUGUUUGACUGAACUCCAAAAAUAGCAAAACACCCAAACAAGGCAAUACUCUUCCACUAAGUUUGGAUCCCUGCUAAGAAAAGAUGAGGCUGGGCACAGUGGCUCACACCUGUAAUCCCAGCACUUUGGGAGGCCAAGGCGGGAAGAUUGCUUGAGUUCAGGAGUUCAAGACCAGCUUGGGCAACAUGACAAAACCCCAUCUCUACUGAAAACACAAAAAAUUAGCCGGGCAUGGUGGCCACGGCUGUGGUCCCAGCUGCUUGGGAGGCUAAGGUGGGUGGAUCACCUGAGCCCUGGAAGUCAGGGCUGUAGUGAGCUGUGACUGCACUCCAGCCUGGGCAACAGGAGUGAGACUCUGUCUUUUAAAAAAAAAAAAGAAAGAAAAGAAAAGCCCGUCAUACAUGGGUUGGAGAUACCUGGGUAGAUGCCUUCAAAGGUUUUGACUCCCCAAACUGCCUUAAACCUUUUUUUCGUAGACAGUGUCUCACUCUGUUGCCCAGGCUGGAGUGCAGUUGCUGGAUCAUGGCCCACUGUAGCCUCAACUUCCUGGGCUCAAACGAUCCUCCCACCUGAGCCUCCUAAGUAACUGGGACUACAGGUAUGUGUCACCACACCUGGAUACAUUUUUUAUUACUUGUAGAGGCAAGGUCUUGCUAUGUUGCCCGGGCUUGUCUCAAACUUCUAGGCUCCAGUGAGCCAUCACACCUGGCCUGCCUUGAACCUGAAGCCUGCCGGGGUGGCUCACCUCUCCUAUUAACCUGACACUACUCCUCCUCCCUCCACUUACUGCUCAGUAGAUGUAUAAUUAUGGUUGUUUCUUUUGCAUUAUUCAGCUGGAAACAAUGAGAUAGAAAAGAGAAUAUAGCUCCCUCCCCCUCAGAAGAACUGCGUUAUUAGUUUGCUGGGGCUUCAGUAACAAACUGGGCAGACAUUUAUUGUCUCCCAGUUCUGGAGGCUAGAAGUCUGAGAUCAAAGUUUUCACAGGGUUGGUUCCUUCUGGGGCUGGGAGGGAGAAUCUGUCUCAUGCCUCUCUCCCAGCUUCUGGUGGUUUGCUGGCAGUCUUUGGUUCCUUGGCUUAUAGAGGCAUUGUCCCAGUCCUGCCUUUAUAUUCACAUGGUGAUCUUGUUGUGUGUGUCUCUCCAGACGAAGGCAUAAGUAACAUCAUUGACAAAGGUCAUUCGACAUGGGCCUCUUUUUAGAAGGACACCAGUCAUACUGAUUAGGGCCCACUCUAAUGAGCGCAUCUUAACUUGUCUACAAAGACCCAUUUCCAAAUAAUGUCACAUUCACAUUGACCAGGGGUUAGGGCUUCAGCAUCUUUUGAGAGGGACACACUUCAGCCCAUAACAAGCUGUACCACCCAGCCAACAUGUACUGACAGGAGCUGGGAAAGUUUGGGGCUGGAUUAUGAGGGUGCUUGAUGAAGGGAGCUGGAAUGUAAACUUGCAUAGAUGUGUUUAUUGAAAUACGUGAUUUAACACCUUGGCAAAGAGUGGCUGCAGACUUCCUGCAAGGAUGGCUCCUAGAAUGGCGGUAUAGCUACUGCUGCCUAACAAAUUACUCCACACUUCGUGGCUUAAAACAAGAAUCAUUUCUUAUCUCUAGGUUACUGUGGGUCAGACAUAGUGGGGAUCGGUGAUCUCUCUAGGUUACUGUGGGUCAGACAUAGUGGGGAUUGGUUAUCUCUCUUCCACAGUGUCUGAGGCCUCAGCUGGAGCAGUUCAGAGGCUAGAGGUUGGAAUGAGUGAAGGUUCAUCUGCUCGAAUGUCUGACAGCUGAUACUGGAGAUUGGCUGCAGCCCAGAUUGGGGAUGUCAGCCAGCACACCCCUACACGGCCGGUCCCUGUGGCCGAGGCUUUCUCACAAUAUGAUGGCUGGAUUCCAAGGGCAAUCUAAAGACAAAGGACAAAAGAAAGCUGUAUCCUUUUUGUGAACCAGCCUCAGAAGUUGCAUACCAUCACUUCGGCUACUUCCUAUUUGGAAGAAAUGAGUCACUAAAUUACCCAUAUUCAAAAGGAGAGGAAUUAGGCUUCAUCUUCUAAAGGGAAGAAUAUCAAAAAAUUUGCCAGUAUAUUUUUAAAACACCACACUUGGAAAAAGCCAUGGGCCAUGGUAAGCAAAAUUGAAAUGGCAAAAUUGCUAUGGCAGACAGUGGUGGAAGGGAGUAAAAGGUUCAGGGGUGUGGGCAUGUUGAAAUUUAUAUACUCCGUGCAUCUAGAAGACAUUUGAGACGAUCAUAUUCCACAUGAAGGUGUAAAUAACACGUCAUUUAUAAAGAUCAUUAGACAUAGGAUGAUGAAAGGGGCACUGAUGUCACUAAAAUAUUCAGUGAUGGCUCAUCUCUGUAGGCAAGAAUGACAAUAGAAAGGCUGUUCCAGAACUUGGCUGGGUGAUAGCACUGGGGAUGAUAGGAUCCUAAGACAAAAGAGGCCAUUCUGGGACAUAGUGGGGACCAAAGAAAAAAACCCAAGAAGCCAAAGGCAACACUUAGCUGGCAGAAGUCAGAGGAUUGCAAUUAUAGCAGCCAGCAGGGUCUGAGUGGCAGCCAAGGGGACCUCACUUGUAUGGUUAUAGAACUGGUCAAUAAACAUGGCAUCCCUGGAGGCAAAACAGGUGGGCAGCUAAGAAGGGUACUACUCAGCUGGCAAAAAAAAAAAAAAAAAAAAAAAUCCAUCCAGGCACGGUGGCCUGUGCCUGUAAUCUCAGCAUUUGGGGAAGCUAAGGUGGGAGGAUCACUUGAGCCCAGGAGUUCAAGAUUACAGUGAGCUGUGGUUGCACCACUGCACUCCAGCCCGGGCAAUGUGGCAAGACUGUCUCAAUUGAAAAAAAUAAAUAAAGAUGCUUGUCCCAGUUUUAAAAAAUCAGGAUUCCAUGCCCAGCUUCUGGAACUGAGCCAGUUUUCAGAAAUGGAAACAUUACUUGAGAGGUGGCCAAACACCAGGAAGAAGGACCUAUAACAGUACAAGUACAACAGAAAUGAAUCCCCAGGUACUUUUCCAAAGGGUCUGAUAGCAAUUUCUUUUGAUAACUACAUCCUGGAGAAAAGUGAUUAGCCAAACAUUUGGAAGACUUGUGGACACAGGGUCUAAAUUGAUGUCCAGAUGCCUAGAAUAUCAUCCCCUUCUGUUAGAGUGGCUGCAUGUGGUGGCCAGGUAAUUGAUGGAGUUCUGCUAAAGGUCCAGCUUACAGUGGACCCGUAGACCUAGUGGACUGAUCUAGUGAUAUUUUCUUAGCCUUCGAGUGAGUAAUUGGCAUUGACAUACUUGGCAGUGAAUGCUCAUUCCAGGUCCCUGACCUAUAGAGUUAGAUAACAAAAUGGAAAAAGCCAAACAGAAACCUGAAACUGCCCCAUCCCCUACCAAGAUUAUAAAACAAUUAUCCCAGAGCGGGAAUGGCAGAGAUAAGUGCCACUUCUAAGGAUCCAAGUGAUGUAAAGUGGUGGUUACCAACAUUUUUAAUUUACCAGCAUGACCCCUGCAGAAGUCACAAGGAUCCUGGAGAAUGGCAGCCUACUCUAUUUGCUGUCAACCAGUAGUUGUUUUGGGUACACUGCUGCAAACUCAUCUAAGAAGUAUCCCUGGCCGGGCACAGUGGCUCACGCCUGUAAUCCCAGCACUUUGGGAGGAUAAGGUGGGCGGAACACGAGGUCAGGAGUUCAGUCUGGCCAACAUAGUGAAACCCUGUCUCUACUAAAAAUACAAAAAAUUAGCUGGGUGUGGUGGUGUGCACCUGUAAUCCCAGCUACUUGGGAGGCUGAGGCAGGAGAAUCCCAUGAACCUGGGAGGUGGAGGUUGCAGUGAGCCGAGAUCAUGCCAUUGCACUCCAGCCCAGGUGACAGUGUGAGACUCUAUCUCAAAAAAAAAAAAAAAAAGUAUCCGUAAUAGCCUCUCUGCCAGAUAUGGUAGGUAGUUGUUGACUAGGUGGAUUUGUUCUUUUCUGUACCUAUCAGGGAUCAAAAACAUUUUGCAUUUGCAUGGAAUUAAAAUGCAGUUUUGCCGGAAGGUUAUGUUACUUCUCUUGCUCUCUGUCGUAAUCCAAAGAGAUCUGGACCACCUAGACAUCCUGUAGAAUAUUACAUUGUUCCUUUACAUCAGUGACAUGUUGAUCAGCCAGAUGAGAAGUGCAGAAGAUCCUGGAGACAGCUGCUCCAGAGAGUGGCAUAUAAACCCUACAGGAAUCCAGGAGCCUGCUACAAUCCUAACAUUUUUAGGGCUCCAGUGGUCAGGGGUGCUCUAGGGCAUCCCUUCCAAAAGCGAAUGAAUUAUUGCUGCUUGCACCUCCUGCCGUUAAGAAAGCAAGACGCUUGUUGGUUCUCGAGCUAGUUCUUGCCUCAGGUUCUGGAGGCAGCAUGUCCCACACCUGGGAGUAUUGCUCUGGUCCAGAGACUAGUGGAAUUGGGAGAUUUCCAAUUUUGGAAAGAGCCCAGAACUGGAAACGUCUGUACAGUAGAUCCGGGUUGUGAUGAAGUAAUGCUAUUGCCUGGGCCAUAUAGUCCAACAGGUGUUUUUUUGGUGUUAUUAAUGGUGCAGAAUGAUGCAAUGUAGAGAUUCUGUCAUGCCACCUGGAGCAGAGAAUUGUAUGCAUUUGGGGGGCGGGCGGGUGUAGAUCUGUCUUCUGGUAUGCCACUUGUCUCUGACAGAGAUGGAACGCCUGACCGUAAGCCACCAGGUGACCAUGCAACCAGAACUGCCUGUUAAUGUUAAACUAGCAAAAGUCAUAACAUCAGUUGGGGCCAGCAACGGUCCCUCAUAAUAUGGAAGUAGUAUAUUCAAGGUUGAGCAUGAGAAUGUACAGAGGUUACCAAAUGAGCUGCAGAGCACAGAUGCACAUGACUUCCAGAACUGUUGGAUCAGCCACAAUGUCAUUUCACACCUGUGACAGUGUGAGGGGGCCCUUAUAGCCAGUUGACAGGAGUAAAAAUCGUGAGCAUGGUGUAUAAAUGGGUUGGCUCAGUAUGAGUUCAAAAUGAAAAUAGCAGCUACAUUACAGCCUUCUCAGGGGUGACCUUGAAAAAUGGUGAUAAGGGCAUAUCCUCUCAAUAGGCAGAAUUUCAGGCAGAGCUCCUGGUCGUCCACUUUUUUGUGGAAGAAGUAGCCCAAGGUGAGAAUAUACAUGGAGCCAUGGGCAAUGCUAGAGGGCCUGGGUAACUGGUUAAGGGCCUGGAAGGAAAACAAUCGGAAGUUGGAGAUAAGGAGGUGUGUGGUAGAUUUAUGUGGUCAGAUAAAUUGGAAUAGCACGAAGUACAAUGUUCUUUGUAUACAAUGUUAAUGCCCACCAGAGAGCAUCCAUGAAAGAAGCAUUAUACAACCAAGUAGACAGUUGACUCAGCCAGUUGAUAUUGGACAGCAUCUUUUAUUGGCUACUGUACUACUGGCAUGAUGGGCACAUGGACAAGGUAGCCAAGGUGAUGGACGCUGUUCAUGGGCCUGACAGCAACCCAUGCUCUCUACCCAGCUUUGGUUAAUAUCUAGCUGCCCCUGAAUAUCUAACCUGCCAGCAAAAGAGAUCUACCCGGCUUUGGUUAAUAUCUAGCUGCCCCUAAAUAUCUAACCUGCCAGCAAAAGAGACCAGUGCUAUACUCCCAUUGUGGGUCACUUCAUCAAGGAGCACAAACAUCCAGGUUUACAGAGGUCUUUAGACAUAGUCCCCAUUUUAUAAGGAGAGUUUACUGUAUUGGAACUCUCCCAUCCUGGAAGGGCUGGUGGUUCACUUUUCACAAGAAUAGUCUCAUAUUCCAGAUACGAGGCUUGUCUUUUCCUACUCACAAGUGUCAGCCAGAAAGGCUUAAGGAGUGUUUGUUUCACUGACAUAAGCACACAACAUUUCAAACGAGAUUCACUUUAUAGCCAAGGAAGUGUAGUGUCCAUGGGCCCUCCUGCCUGGCAGAGCGCUGAGACAGCAUGCUAAAGGCACAGCCUCCCAAAGGCAUGAGCCACUGAGCCCGGCACUGAAGACUUCCUUGAAACCGUUCUUUGCAAUCUUUCUGUUAUUGACCAGCUGGACAGUGCGUAACUGCAUGGGAAUGCUUGCAGAUCAGUAAAUUCAGACACCUUCCUUUCCACAUAAGAUGGACCACCAGCUGUACCCUCCCAAGUUUUGCCAGCUGGAAAUCUUCAAAAAUCCAACCCUAAACUAGGUUGUAGUGUAGCAACCAUCUUUUUGUUUGUUUUUUGAGACGGAGUCUCACUCGGUCUUCCAGGCUGGAGUGCAGUGGCGCGAUCUCAGCUCACUGCAACCUCUGCCUCCCGGGUUCAAGCGAUUCCCCUGCCUCCGCCUCCCGAGUAGCUGGGACUACAGGCACACGCCACCAUGCCCGGCUAAUUUUGUGUCUUUUAGUAGAGAUGGGAUUUCACCACGGUGGUCAGGAUAGUCUCAAUCUCCUGACCUCAUGAUCCGCCUGCCUUAGCCUCCCAAAGUGCUGGGAUUUCAGGUGUGAGUCACUAGUGUAGCAACUAUUUAUGGUUCAUGCCACCAUACCGUAUGGAUCCGUUGGUAGAACAAACCUGUAUUUUUUCGUCUUCUGUCAACUGGUCCUAGGGAGCGUCCCGUGAAACCACAGAUGUAGACUGAGGGGUGUGAAGUAGAAGAGGCGGCAGCAUGUGUUUGGUCACUCACUUGGGUCACAUACUUAUGCCUUCUGAAUCUGUUCAGGCAUAGUUUUGUGUAUAUUAUUUCCAGUUUCAGUGGAAUGCUGUUUAUGUCCAGUUUAAUGAUUUGUGUAUAGGCUGUCCUCCUAUGGUAUGCCUCAUGCUUCUGUGGGCUGUAUUGGGAUCAGAGUCUUGGGGGUCUGCAAGCAAGGUGGUAUUGUUGGGUUUUGAGAAUCAGCAUCUCUCUGUGAGGCACUGUAUUUGUUCUCACACUGCUAUAAAGAAAUGCCUGAGGCCAGGUGUGGUGGCUGAGGCCUGUAAUCCCAGCACUUUGGGAGGCCAAAGCCGGUGGAUCACCUGAGGUCAGGAGUUCGAGACCAGCCUGACCAAUAUGGUGAAACUCUGUCUCUACUAAAAGUACAAAAAUUAGUCGGGCCUGGUGGCGUGCACCUGUAGUCUCAGCUACUCAGGAGGCUGAGACAGGAUAAUUGCUUGAACCCGGGAGGCGGAGGUUGCAGUGAGCCAAGAUUGUGCCAUUUAAGCCUGGGUGACAGAGCAAGUCUCCAUCUAAAAAAAAAAAAUGCCUGAGACUGGAUAAUUUAUAAAGAAAAGAGGUAUAUUUGGCUCACGGUUCUGCAGGCUGUACAGUAAGCAUAGUGGCUUUUCCUUUGGGGAGGCCUCAGGAAGCUUCCAAUCAUGGCAGAAGACAAAGGGGGAGCAAGGCACUUCACAUGGCUGUAUUAGGAGGCAGAGAGAGGAUGGAGGUGCCACACACUUGAACAACCAGAUCUCGUGAGAACUCAUUCACUGUCUGAGGACAGCACCCAGGUGUUAAACCAUUCACGAGGAACUGUCCCCAUGAUCCAGUAACCUCCCACCAGGUCCCACCUCCAACAUUAGGGAUUAGAAUUCAGCAUGAGAUUGGGCAGACACACAGAUCCAAACCAUAUCAGGCAUCCAUCCCAGGUGCAGUCAUUAAAAGUUUUCUAUUCAGGCUUUUGAGGUGAUUGUGGUGGGGCCCCUUCAAGGUGGGGGCUGGACACCAGAGGACCCAACCACAUGAUUGGAGGAUUAGGAUUUUCAGCCCCACCCUCAAACCUCUGGAGAGGGGAGGGGGUUGGAGUUUAAGUUCAAUCAUGUGAUCAAUAAUCCAAUCCAUCAUGACUAUGUAAUGAGGCCUUGAUAAAAACUCUUAGCCAAUGAGGCUUACAGAGGUUCUGGGUUGUGCUGUGUUGCGGGAAGUCAGGGACCCCAAACCGAGGGACCGGCUGGAGCCGCGGCAGAGGGACAUAAAUUGUGAAGAUUUCAUGGACGUUUAUCACUUCCUAGUAAUACUCUUAUAAUUUCUUAUGCCUGUCUAAUCUCAAUCCUGUUAUCUUCGUAAGCUGAGGAUGUAUGUCACCUCAGGUCCACUGUGAUGAUUGCAUUAACUGUACAAAUCGAUUGUAAAACGUGCAUUUGACGAGGCCAGGAGAUCAAGACCAUCCUGGCUAACACAGUGAAAACCCGUCUCUACUAAAAAUACAAAAAAUCAGCCGGGUGUGGUGGCAGGCACCUGUAGUCCCAGCUACUCGGGAGGCUGAGGAAGGAGAAUGGCAUGAACCUGGGAGAUGGAGCUUGCAGUGAGCUGAGAUGGCGCCACUGCACUCCAGCCUGGGCGACAGAGUGAGACUCCAUCUCAAAAAACAAACAAACCAAAAAAAAAAAAAAACGUGUGUUUGAACAAUAAUGAAAUCAGUGCACCUUGAAAAUGAACAGAACAGCGAUUUUAGGGAACAAGGGAAGACAACCAUAAGGUCUGACUGCCUGUGGGUUCGGGCAAAAAGAGCCAUAUUUUUCUUCUUGCAGAGAGCCUAUAAACGGACGUGCAAGUAGGAGAGAUAUCGCUAAAUUCUUUUCCUAACAAGGAAUAUUAAGACCCUAGGAAAAUAAUUGCAUUCCUUGGGGGAGGUCUAUAAAUGCUUGCUCUGGGAGUGUCUGUCUUACGCAGUUGAGAUAAAGACUGAAAUACGCCCUGGUCUCCUGCAGUACCCUCAGGAUUGUUAGGGUGGGGGAAAAAACCACUCCCUGGUAAAUCUGAGGUCAGACUGGUUCUCUGCUCUUGAACCCUGUUUUCUGUUGUUUAAGAUGUUUAUCAAGACAAUACAUGCACAGCUGAACAUAGACCCUUACCAGGAGUUUUUGAUUUUGCCCUUUGCCUUGUGAUCUUUAUUGGCCUCAGAAGCACGUAAUCUUUGUUCUCCCUUUUGCCCUUUGAAGCAUGUGAUCUUUGUGACCUACUCCCUGUUCGUACACCCCCUCCCCUUUUGAAGUCCUUAAUAAAAACCUGCUGGUUGUGCGGCUCAGGUGGGCAUCACGGUCCUACCACUAUGUGAUGUCACCCCUGGCAGCCCAGCUCUAAACUUCCUCUUUGUACUCUAUUUCUCAGACUGGCCGACACUUAGGGAAAAUAGAAAGAACCUACGUUGAAAUAUUGGGGAUGGGUUCCCCCGAUAGUGCUGGGAGGGCAGCACGCCUGCAGUGGACACAGAAGCUCUGAGCCCCAUACCUGUCCUGCUCACCUCUUCCAUUUGGCUGUUCCUUUGUUGUACCCUGUAUAAUAAACUGGUAAUCCCAAGAAUAGUACUUUGCAUCAUUCUAGUAAAUUAUUAAACCUACAGGGGUGGGGCUGAAAACCCCACAAACUUAUAAAUUGGCUGGGCAGAAUUGCGGGUAGCCUGGAAACACCACUUGUGGCUGACGUCUGACGUGGAGACUGAGUCCUUAGCUUUUAGGGUCUGUGCUGACUCCAGGUAGUACCAGAAUUGAAGGACUUUAGGCCAGGCACUGUGGUUCACGCCUGUAAUCCCAGCACUUUGGGAGGCCAAGAUAGGAUCACUUGAGCCCAGGAAUUCGAGACCAGCCUGGGCAACAGGGAGACCCCCCAUCUCUACAAAAAUAAAUUAAUUAAAAAUGGAAGGACUUUGUCCUUAACUUGUGGGAACUGUGUCCAUUCUGACUCUAGGUAGUGUCAGAAUGGAACUGUAGGACAGGCAGCUCGUGUUAGAAAAGGAGACAAGCCUCCAGCAGGUCAGGGAGGCGGCAGCAGGCAGCAUGAACGGUAGCCCAGGCUCCCAUGCAGUUCUCCAGCUCUGCUGUCCCCCUGCAUCUAUCCAUUCCUAUUCUGCAUAUGAAUUUGCUUUUCCCGCCCAACACUCAUUUGCAGACUUCCCAAAUUCCUAAUUCAUCAUCGCUUCUAACCAGAAAACUCUUCUGAGAGCAAGUGUGGCUCUAAGCAUGUGGUUGUACGAUGCCCUCAUCUUACCCCAAACUCCUAUCAGUCAGAAGUAGCUUGCUUAGUGGAUGGUGGAAAGGCCUCCCGAAGGCUCAGUUAUGAUGCCAGAUUGGAGACAAUGCCCUGUCAAUAUGGAUGUUAUAAUACAGGAUGUGGUAUAGGCUUUAACUGAACAAUACCUAGUGCUACUUCUCCCACAGCCAGCAUAUGCUGGCUUGGAAACCUAAGGGCUGCAGAUAGGAAUGGCCCCUCUUACUGUUAUGCCAAGUAACCCCAGAAGGAAUUUUUGCUUCUCAUCUUGUAACUCUGAACUCCACUGUCCCAAGGGAGGACUGCUUCUACCAGGUACGACAAUGGUGGUAUUUUGAACUUUGAACUAGCAGUUGAGACUGCUGCCUGAGCCAACACCCAGGGAUGGAGUUACUGCACUAACUGGUGCUAUUGAUCCCAAUUUUUGAGGGAAACUGGGUGGCUCAUACACAAUGAAAACAGGAACAUCCUUAUCUGCAAUCUAGUGUCUUCACUGGCACCUUUUGGUACCGAGGACUUUCGGCUCAGUGCAGCCUCCGCCUCCUGGGUUCAAGUGAUCCUCCUGCCUCAGCCUCCCGAGUAGCUGGGAUUACAGGGGCCUGCCACCACACCCGGCUAAUUUUUGUAUUUUUAGUAGAGACCGGGUUUUGCCAUGUUGGUUAGGCUGGUCUCAAACUCCUGACCUUGUGAUCUGGCCACCUCGACCUCCCAAAGUGCUGGGAUUACAGGUGUGAGCCACCACACCCGGCUGACAGCUUCUUGGCUUCAAGCUAGAACAGGCUCCUCACAUUCAUGUCCCAUUGUCUUUGAUGAAACGAGGGCAGUUAACUGUAGAAUAGCCCAUGUUCAUCUUUUUCCUCAUGGUUUCAUUUAUUUUUCCUUCAAUAAACUAUAAGUUAGGGCUGGACACAGUGUCUUGAGCCUGUAUUCCCAGCACUUUGGGAGGCCAAGGCAGGAGGAUCACUUGAAGCUAGGGGUUCAAGACCAGUGUGGGCAACAGAGUGAAACUCCAUCUCUACUUAAAAAAAAAAAAAAACAAAAAACAACUAGCUCAAUGUGGCAGUGCGUGCCUGUACUCCCAGCUACUCGGGAGGCAGAGACAGUAGGAUUGCUUGAGCCAGGAGCUUGAAACCAGGCCGGGAAACAAAGUGAAACCUUGUCUCUAAAAGAAAUACGAAAAUUAGUGCCAGGCGUGGUGGUGCGCACCUGUAGUCCCAACUACUCGGGAGGCUAAGCAGGCGGAUCAUUUGGGCUUGGUAGGUCAAGGCUGCAGUGAGUUGUGAUUGUGCCACUGUACUCCAGCCUGGGUGACAGAGCGAGACCUUGUCUCUAAAAAUAAAAAAAUUAUACCCAUCUAGUACAUUUUUGGAUAAAGGGUCCUUGGCUAGGUAUUACUGUCUAGUCUAAGCGAGUAUGAGUGAAACAUAAAAAAGCACAGCCAGCCGGGCGUGGUGGCUCACACCUGUAAUCCCAACACUUUGGGAGGCCGAGGAGGAUGGAUCAUUUGAGGUCAGGAAUUCAAACCAGCCUGGCCAACAUGGUGAAACUCUGUCUCUACUAAAAAUACAAAAAUUAGCUGGGCCUGGUGGUGGGCGCCUGUAAUCCCAGCUACUCAGGAGGCUGAGGCAGGAGAGUUGCUUGAGCCCAGGAGGCGGCGGUUGCAGUGAGCCGAGAUUGCACCAUUGCACUCCAGCCUGGGUGACAGAGGGAGACUCCCAUCUCAAAAACAAAAAGCAUGGCCAUGAGAGGUGGAUACAUAGUGGCAGCAUCUUUAAAAAAAUAAGAAACCAAGUAAGAGUAAACAACAGUCAAGUGGCUAUUCAAGAAUGCUCCGGGUUCCACUGAAAAUUUUUGACUUACGAGUUUAACAUAAACUCUCUGCUCAAUUUUUUAGUCAGUGAGAAAGGCAAACUGAUAAAAUGGAUAAAAUGGAAAAAAAAAACAACACAAGGGCUAUUCACAAACAAAACAGUGAUUAA
rnacentral:lncRNA from 1 species